UACGUAGGUGGCAAGCGUUGUCCGGAAUCAUUGGGCGUAAAGAGCUCGUAGGUGGUCUGUUACGUCUGCUGUGAAAACCUAGGGCUUAACCCUGGGCCUGCAGUGGAUACGGGCAGACUAGAGGUAGGUAGGGGAGAAUGGAAUUCCCGGUGUAGCGGUGAAAUGCGCAGAUAUCGGGCGGAACACCGGUGGCGAAGGCGGUUCUCUGGGCCUUACCUGACACUGAGGAGCGAAAGCGUGGGGAGCGAACAGG
rnacentral:rRNA from 1 species